UGUGUAGGCGGUGUUCCAAGUCUGGUGUGAAAUCUCCCGGCUUAACUGGGAGGGUGCGCCGGAAACUGGAAUGCUCGAGGGUGGGAGAGGUAAGCGGAAUUCCUGGUGUAGCGGUGAAAUGCGUAGAUAUCAGGAGGAACACCUGUGGUGUAGACAGCUUACUGGACCACUUCUGACCCUGAGACACGAAAGCGUGGGUAGCAAACA
rnacentral:rRNA from 1 species